rnacentral:SRP_RNA from 1 species
AGCUCGGAUCUAUGCGAUCGCAACGCCCGAACCGUGUCAGGGCUGGAAGGCAGCAGCACUAAGGGAUGCUUGAGAUAGGCGUAGCCUCCGGGCUUUA